UGGGCUUCGAGAAUCCGCCAC
rnacentral:siRNA from 1 species